GGUUAAGCGACUAAGCGUACACGGUGGAUGCCCUGGCAGUCAGAGGCGAUGAAGGACGUGCUAAUCUGCGAAAAGCGCCGGCGAGGUGAUAUGAACCUUUGACCCGGCGAUGUCCGAAUGGGGAAACCCAGUGUGUUCCGACACACUAUCGUUAACUGAAUACAUAGGUUAACGAGGCGAACCGGGGGAACUGAAACAUCUAAGUACCCCGAGGAAAAGAAAUCAACCGAGAUUCCCCCAGUAGCGGCGAGCGAACGGGGAGCAGCCCAGAGUCUGAAUCAGCUUGUGUGUUAGUGGAAGCGUCUGGAAAGUCGCACGGUACAGGGUGACAGUCCCGUACACGAAAAUGCACAGGUUGUGAACUCGAAGAGUAGGGCGGGACACGUGGUAUCCUGUCUGAAUAUGGGGGGACCAUCCUCCAAGGCUAAAUACUCCUGACUGACCGAUAGUGAACCAGUACCGUGAGGGAAAGGCGAAAAGAACCCCGGCGAGGGGAGUGAAAAAGAACCUGAAACCGUGUACGUACAAGCAGUGGGAGCACCUUCGUGGUGUGACUGCGUACCUUUUGUAUAAUGGGUCAGCGACUUAUAUUCUGUAGCAAGGUUAACCGUAUAGGGGAGCCGAAGGGAAACCGAGUCUUAACUGGGCGUUAAGUUGCAGGGUAUAGACCCGAAACCCGGUGAUCUAGCCAUGGGCAGGUUGAAGGUUGGGUAACACUAACUGGAGGACCGAACCGACUAAUGUUGAAAAAUUAGCGGAUGACUUGUGGCUGGGGGUGAAAGGCCAAUCAAACCGGGAGAUAGCUGGUUCUCCCCGAAAGCUAUUUAGGUAGCGCCUCGUGAACUCAUCUUCGGGGGUAGAGCACUGUUUCGGCUAGGGGGCCAUCCCGGCUUACCAACCCGAUGCAAACUACGAAUACCGAAGAAUGUUAUCACGGGAGACACACGGCGGGUGCUAACGUCCGUCGUGAAGAGGGAAACAACCCAGACCGCCAGCUAAGGUCCCAAAGUCAUGGUUAAGUGGGAAACGAUGUGGGAAGGCACAGACAGCCAGGAUGUUGGCUUAGAAGCAGCCAUCAUUUAAAGAAAGCGUAAUAGCUCACUGGUCGAGUCGGCCUGCGCGGAAGAUGUAACGGGGCUAAACCAUGCACCGAAGCUGCGGCAGCGACACUAUGUGUUGUUGGGUAGGGGAGCGUUCUGUAAGCCGUUGAAGGUGUGCUGUGAGGCAUGCUGGAGGUAUCAGAAGUGCGAAUGCUGACAUAAGUAACGAUAAAGCGGGUGAAAAGCCCGCUCGCCGGAAGACCAAGGGUUCCUGUCCAACGUUAAUCGGGGCAGGGUGAGUCGACCCCUAAGGCGAGGCCGAAAGGCGUAGUCGAUGGGAAACAGGUUAAUAUUCCUGUACUUGGUGUUACUGCGAAGGGGGGACGGAGAAGGCUAUGUUAGCCGGGCGACGGUUGUCCCGGUUUAAGCAUGUAGGCGGAGGUUCCAGGUAAAUCCGGUACCUUUUAACGCUGAGGUGUGAUGACGAGGCACUACGGUGCUGAAGUAACAAAUGCCCUGCUUCCAGGAAAAGCCUCUAAGCAUCAGGUAACAUCAAAUCGUACCCCAAACCGACACAGGUGGUCAGGUAGAGAAUACCAAGGCGCUUGAGAGAACUCGGGUGAAGGAACUAGGCAAAAUGGUGCCGUAACUUCGGGAGAAGGCACGCUGAUAUGUAGGUGAAGCCCCUGCGGGUGGAGCUGAAAUCAGUCGAAGAUACCAGCUGGCUGCAACUGUUUAUUAAAAACACAGCACUGUGCAAACACGAAAGUGGACGUAUACGGUGUGACGCCUGCCCGGUGCCGGAAGGUUAAUUGAUGGGGUUAGCGGCAACGCGAAGCUCUUGAUCGAAGCCCCGGUAAACGGCGGCCGUAACUAUAACGGUCCUAAGGUAGCGAAAUUCCUUGUCGGGUAAGUUCCGACCUGCACGAAUGGCGUAAUGAUGGCCAGGCUGUCUCCACCCGAGACUCAGUGAAAUUGAACUCGCUGUGAAGAUGCAGUGUACCCGCGGCAAGACGGAAAGACCCCGUGAACCUUUACUAUAGCUUGACACUGAACACUGGUCCUUGAUGUGUAGGAUAGGUGGGAGGCUUUGAAGUGUGGACGCCAGUCUGCAUGGAGCCGUCCUUGAAAUACCACCCUUUAAUGGCUGGUGUUCUAACGUAGACCCGUGAUCCGGGUUGCGGACAGUGUCUGGUGGGUAGUUUGACUGGGGCGGUCUCCUCCCAAAGAGUAACGGAGGAGCACGAAGGUUAGCUAAUCCUGGUCGGACAUCAGGAGGUUAGUGCAAUGGCAUAAGCUAGCUUGACUGCGAGAGUGACGGCUCGAGCAGGUGCGAAAGCAGGUCAUAGUGAUCCGGUGGUUCUGAAUGGAAGGGCCAUCGCUCAACGGAUAAAAGGUACUCCGGGGAUAACAGGCUGAUACCGCCCAAGAGUUCAUAUCGACGGCGGUGUUUGGCACCUCGAUGUCGGCUCAUCACAUCCUGGGGCUGAAGUAGGUCCCAAGGGUAUGGCUGUUCGCCAUUUAAAGUGGUACGCGAGCUGGGUUUAGAACGUCGUGAGACAGUUCGGUCCCUAUCUGCCGUGGGCGCUGGAGAAUUGAGGGGGGCUGCUCCUAGUACGAGAGGACCGGAGUGGACGCAUCACUGGUGUUCGGGUUGUCAUGCCAAUGGCACUGCCCGGUAGCUAAAUGCGGAAAAGAUAAGUGCUGAAAGCAUCUAAGCACGAAACUUGCCCCGAGAUGAGUUCUCCCUGAGACUUUAAGUCUCCUGAAGGAACGUUGAAGACGACGACGUUGAUAGGUCGGGUGUGUAAGCGCAGCGAUGCGUUGAGCUAACCGAUACUAAUGAACCGUGAGGCUUAACCUU
rnacentral:rRNA from 1 species